UACCGUGAGUACGUGUGCCGGAAAACUGUAACAGGUCCCCAGUCCCUGGUAUCUACUUCUGUCUUAGUUGUUUUUAGGGCUGGGAAGAGACACCAUGACCACAGAAACUCUUAUAAAAGAAAACCAUUUAACUGGGAAUGGCUUACAUUUUCAGAGGUUUAGCCCACUGUCAUCAUGAGAGGAAGGAAGCAAGGCACCCUGCAGGCAGACAUGGUGCUUGAGAAGGAGCUCAGUGUUCUUACAUCUUGACUCACAGGCACCAGGAAGUGGUCUGAACAGUGGGUAUGACUUGAGCAUAUAUGAGGCCUCAAAGCCCAUCUCCAUAGUAACACACUUCCUCUAACAAAACCAUACCUACUCCAACAAAGUCACACCUCCUGCCACAUGGGGGCCAUUUUCUUUCAAACUACCACAAUACCCGACAUCCUCCUCUUGCUUUCACAUGUGAGCAUUGGGGCAUGUACGUACACCUGUGCAUUUACCCCCCCUCCCCCACACACUGUAUCUUAUGUUAUUUACUUUGAAUGUGUUACUUCUUUCCCAGAACCAACUUUCUCACCAACUGAUACUCUACAGUACAAUGGAGAUGUUCCUGCAAAGGGCUCCAGACAUCUCAGUUCUGGAGGUUCUGGCAUGCCAAAAACUGAAACACCUACCAAGGAGUCUUUGACUUGAUGAUUUGAUGUUCUCUCCUUAUACCUGUGAUAGACUCUACUUGGACCUAUAGGUGAAAAAAAACUGUGUAAUAUACAGCACAAAUGAACAGACAUACCAGUGGAAAGCAAUUGAAUUGGUUUCAGUCUUACAUGUAAGUUGGAUCCUAUGAUCAUAAAAACAACUAGCAAGUGUCUUUCAUAGGUAAGCAUUGCCUCUUGAGAUCUCUGCCUCUUUGGGAAUGGCAGUCUCAGAUGUAAAAGACAAUUGUACAUUGCAAAGAGGCUGGCAGAUGAAACAUUUCAACAAAAUAAACCUGGAAACAAAUUAAAGCAUGCAACUUGAAAAUAGCACAUACAUUAAAUCUAUAAAUAUAGCAAAUAUUUAUCAGAAAUUGGUAGAAAGUAUCUUUUCCAAAGUAUGUGUAAAUAACAACACAUUCUCCAAAAAUAACUACCUUUUAUCCCUUUGUACUCUGCAACUCUUUUAUCUCCCAGGAUAGAGCACUUGGAUGAUCGGUAUCUAUUUAUUAGAUGCCCUUACAAGGCUGCUAUGGUGCCUCCUCUGAUCCCUAACAAAUGUUAAUGACAUUGGCAUUUAGUUGAUAUGACUUUCCUUUUCUUAGUGCAGUCCUUUUCCUUAGGCGAUUUGCUGUGUCAUCUCAUUAUAUCCAUGGCUUGAAAGAAGAACCUAGUCUUAAAGUUUGAGGUGGGUUAUUGAUCUCCGAAGAUGAUAUAAUUCACUGCCCAGGAUAAUUCAGACCUAUUAAAAAACUCUAAACAAAAUUCUCGGCUAUACUUUUCAUAUGUAAUUAUGCUACAUGAAGUAUUAAAAUUCUGGCAUUUCUUACUAUUCUUGCAACAAUUUAUUCAGGUCAAAGUCAAAUUCUUAAAACUCAUUUGGAAUCCUCUACACACAUAUUUCUUUGAAGAGUUUUAAAAUACAUUCUUUUGUACAACACUAGUAAUUAUUGCUAAUUGUCCCAAUUGGCGAUAUGUAAGUUUGAUUUACUUCUUUCAUUGUAUCACUUAUCAUUUGACCAAAGUCAGGACUAAAAAUUUUUUUGCAUUUUAAAUAUAUUCUCUAAGAUUAUACCCCAGGGCUGUGAAGAGAAGCACCUUUGAGAAUGAGGUAUCACUUAACUAUGGGAUUGAACAGAGAGUGAUAAAACAAUGAAGGGAAUCAUGGGUGUUCCAAAUCACCCAGGAAACUUAAUUACAUUUGUGUUUCACAAACAGGAAGAUGAAUAUUUAUUGUAGAGAUUAGCAGCGUUUGAAUGGAACAGCACAUAUGUUUAUUAACUCUGUUUGGAGGAGAUCCUCAGGAAAGACAUGAUUAGUUGUGAUCUCAGCCUUCCACAAAUACUGAAAAUAUUUCUCCACAAAUAAUUGCUCAUGUGGAAUAGAUGGUUUUGUGUUUUAGAGAGUAAUUAAAAUAGCCUUUUUGAGUGGUUACUUAACUACCUGCCAGUAGCCAACACGGGAAGCUUAUACACACUUAAUAUUUUAGUUUUAUACAUAUGCUUUCCCUCACACUCCUAGGGUAUAAAGUCAAGAAAAUAUUUAAUAAGGCCAUAAAGAUGAGUAAAGUGCUUGCCUUCAAGCAUAUUGGGCUGAGUUGAAUCCUCCAGAACUCAAGUCAAAAAGCCAGGCACACAUGUAAAUGCUGGAAAGGAAGAGACAGGUGAUCUCUGAGGCCUACCCUACCUGGAAAGCUCCAGGAUAUUUAUCACAUGGUAAAUAGCAAGUGUUUUUUAUUUUCCUUACUUUAUCGAUAAAGAGACUGGCAAAGAUAGCUGGAAUUAGAGAAUUGUAUUAUGUUCUUAACUGUGCUACUCAAUGCAAAUCACCAUGGAUUUACAUUAUUUAAAAGGCCUGAUAUUAGUUUAGUUAGAUCAUUCUUUGACUGAUUUAGUCCCUGUAUAACAUUAAGACUAGAAAAGACUAAGAUUUUAAUUUUGCAGAAGAGAAAGUUUAUGCACAUAAAGAUAUGGUGUAUUACUAAAUGUCCAACAUCAGAGCCUUAUGUGUAUUGGCUCAUAGCCUAACACUUUUAUUCCUUUUAAAAUUUAAUUCAAUUUACUUAUUUAUUUAGUGUCUCUACCUCUGUCUCUGUCUCUCUCUCUUUCUACGUGUGCUAUUAUAGUGUAUGUGUUACUGUGUGUGUGUGUGUGUGUGCCAGAGGACAACUUAUGAAAGUCAAUUCUCUCUUUCCACAGUAUGGGUUCCAGUGAUCAACCUCAGUGAUCAAACUCAGCCAUCUCACUGACUCUAGCAUUUUUGUGUUUGAGUACUCAUGUCUUAUCUAUCCUGUCAAUCACACCAUCAUCAAUAUGCUGUCCUACUGGAACUGAGGCAUGUGGUACCAUGACCAACAACAAGAAUAAAGACUACAAUACGCAAUAACAAUUGGCUUGGAAAUUUCCUUUUAUUGACAUUUAGCUAAGCUAAACAUUUCUACGGUUGAAGAGGACCACUGGUAUUUGAAAUUCAUCUUCAAAGAAAAUGUUAAUAAAAGCCUUUUUUACCAUA